AUUGAACGCUGGCGGCAUGCCUUACACAUGCAAGUCGAACGGCAGCACGGGUGCUUGCACCUGGUGGCGAGUGGCGAACGGGUGAGUAAUAUAUCGGAACGUACCUUAUUGUGGGGGAUAGCGCAGCGAAAGCUGUGCUAAUACCGCGUAAUCCCUAAGGGGGAAAGCGGGGGACCGUAAGGCCUCGCGCAAUUAGAGCGGCCGAUACCUGAUUAGCUAGUUGGUGAGGUAAAGGCUCACCAAGGCAACGAUCAGUAGCUGGUCUGAGAGGACGAUCAGCCACACUGGGACUGAGACACGGCCCAGACUCCUACGGGAGGCAGCAGUGGGGAAUUUUGGACAAUGGGGGCAACCCUGAUCCAGCAAUGCCGCGUGAGUGAAGAAGGCCUUCGGGUUGUAAAGCUCUUUUGUCAGGGAAGAAACAGCAGCUCUAACACAGUUUGCGAAUGACGGUACCUGAAGAGUAAGCACCGGCUAACUACGUGCCAGCCGCCGCCGUAA
rnacentral:rRNA from 1 species